rnacentral:rRNA from 1 species
CCCUUAGAUGUUCUGGGCUGCACGCGCGCUACACUGAUGCGUUCAACAAGUGUUAACCUUGCCCGAUAGGGUUGGGUAAUCUUUUGAAAGCGCAUCGUGAUGGGGAUCGACGACUGCAAUUGUUCGUCUUCAACGAGGAAUUCCUAGUAAGCGCAAGUCAUCAGCUUGCACUGAUUACGUCCCUGCCCUUUGUACACACCGCCCGUCGCUCCUACCGAUUGAGCGAUCCGGUGAAUAGUUCGGAUCGUGCAGGUCGCCCUCGGGUGCUUGUAUGAGAAGUUCAGUAAACCUUAUCACUUAGAGGAAGGAGAAGUCGUAACA